UACGGGGGGAGCAAGCGUUGUUCGGAUUUACUGGGCGUAAAGGGCGCGUAGGCGGCCACCGCAAGUCGAUUGUGAAAUCUCCGGGCUUAACCCGGAAAGGUCAACCGAUACUGCGGGGCUAGAGUGCAGAAGGGGCAACUGGAAUUCUCGGUGUAGCGGUGAAAUGCGUAGAUAUCAGGAGGAACACCGGUGGCGAAGGCGGGAUCCUGGGCCAGUACUGACGCUGAGGAGCGAAAGCGUGGGGAGCAAACAGG
rnacentral:rRNA from 1 species